rnacentral:rRNA from 1 species
CCUACGGGAGGCAGCAGUAAGGAAUAUUGGUCAAUGGGCGCAAGCCUGAACCAGCCAUGCCGCGUGCAGGAAGACGGCCCUACGGGUUGUAAACUGCUUUUGCAGGGGAAUAAACCUCAUUACGUGUAAUGAGCUGAAUGUACUCUGAGAAUAAGGAUCGGCUAACUCCGUGCCAGCAGCCGCGGUAAUACGGAGGAUCCAAGCGUUAUCCGGAUUUAUUGGGUUUAAAGGGUGCGUAGGCGGCCUAUUAAGUCAGGGGUGAAAGACGGUAGCUUAACUAUCGCAGUGCCUUUGAUACUGAUAGGCUUGAAUGGACUAGAGGUAGGCGGAAUGUGACAAGUAGCGGUGAAAUGCAUAGAUAUGUCACAGAACACCAAUUGCGAAGGCAGCUUACUAUGGUUUAAUUGACGCUGAGGCACGAAAGCGUGGGGAUCAAACAGGAUUAGAUACCCUGGUAGUCCACGCCCUAAACGAUGAACACUCGAUGUUAGCGAUAUACAGUUAGCGUCUAAGCGAAAGCGUUAAGUGUUCCACCUGGGGAGUACGCCCGCAAGGGUGAAACUCAAANAGAGUAGAGCGNGAGAGAGCGACGGACGACGACGAGGGAGGAGG